UGGGGAAUUUUGGACAAUGGGCGCAAGCCUGAUCCAGCAAUGCCGCGUGCAGGAUGAAGGCCUUCGGGUUGUAAAACUGCUUUUUGUACGGAACGAAAAGCCUCUCUCUAAUACAGGGGGGUGAUGACGGUACCGUAAGAAUAAGCACCGGCUAACUACGUGCCAGCAGCCGCGGUAAUACGUAGGGUGCAAGCGUUAAUCGGAAUUACUGGGCGUAAAAGCGUGCGCAGGCGGUUUUGUAAGACAGUGGUGAAAUCCCCGGGCUCAACCUGGGAACUGCCAUUGUGACUGCAAGGCUGGAGUGCGGCAGAGGGGGAUGGAAUUCCGCGUGUAGCAGUGAAAAUGCGUAGAUAUGCGGAGGAACACCGAUGGCGAAGGCAAAUCCCCUGGGCCUGCACUGACGCUCAUGCACGAAAAGCGUGGGGAGCAAAACAGGAUUAGAUACCCUGGUAGUCCACG
rnacentral:rRNA from 1 species